rnacentral:lncRNA from 7 species
CACACACACACACACUGGAUCUUCAUCUGUGAAAGCAAAGUCUCUCGCAAUGAAUCCACGGCAGCUUCGAUUGAGCAGUGAGCUGGAGCACCUACCCACAGGCCACUCCUCGAUGUGACUGCAAAGAGGCCCUUGCCAGCACUGGGAGAGCAGAUCUGUGGAUUUACCCCCCAUGCAACCGCAUACCCCCCGGCACCACGAGAUUCCAGUGACAGAUGGAUCUCUCUCAUAUGCACUUGCUCUUUCCCUCUCUGUAUUUUUGUUUUCAACAUGUUUGAUCUGAAGCUCUGAAGCUUCUCAGAAGGAACCCGGGAGAAAAGGAAAAGAAGGAGGAGGAACUGAAGGGAGCGUGAGCGACAGAGGAGGCAGCCUUGCCUUAUUCUUCCAAAUCACACCGUGGAGGGGCGAGGGAAGACCCGAGGGGGGAGGGUUUGGGUUUAUUUUGGGGUGGGUUCGGUGUGGGAGGCAGGUGGGUGGAAAGACAUUGGAAAAGGUGAGAAAGUUGCUCAUGAACAUCGAAGAAGUUUCGUUUUCCU